UACGGACUGAAAAUCCGUUGGCUUUAUAGACCAUGAGGGUUCAAGUCCCUCUAUCCCCA
rnacentral:tRNA from 1 species